rnacentral:rRNA from 1 species
CGCAAGGGGAGCGGCAGACGGGUGAGUAACGCGUGGGAAUCUACCUUUUGCUACGGAACAACAGUUGGAAACGACUGCUAAUACCGUAUGUGCCCUUCGGGGGAAAGAUUUAUCGGCAAAGGAUGAGCCCGCGUUGGAUUAGCUAGUUGGUGAGGUAAAGGCUCACCAAGGCGACGAUCCAUAGCUGGUCUGAGAGGAUGAUCAGCCACACUGGGACUGAGACACGGCCCAGACUCCUACGGGAGGCAGCAGUGGGGAAUAUUGGACAAUGGGCGCAAGCCUGAUCCAGCCAUGCCGCGUGAGUGAUGAAGGCCCUAGGGUUGUAAAGCUCUUUCACCGGUGAAGAUAAUGACGGUAACCGGAGAAGAAGCCCCGGCUAACUUCGUGCCAGCAGCCGCGGUAAUACGAAGGGGGCUAGCGUUGUUCGGAUUUACUGGGCGUAAAGCGCACGUAGGCGGAUUUUUAAGUCAGGGGUGAAAUCCCGGGGCUCAACCCCGGAACUGCCUUUGAUACUGGAAGUCUUGAGUAUGGUAGAGGUGAGUGGAAUUCCGAGUGUAGCGGU